GAGUGAACGCUGGCGGUAGGCCUAACACAUGCAAGUCGAACGGCAGCCCAGUAAGAGCUUGCUCUUACGGGUGGCGAGUGGCGGACGGGUGAGGAAUACAUCGGAAUCUACUUUUUCGUGGGGGAUAACGGAGGGAAACUUACGCUAAUACCGCAUACGACCUACGGGUGAAAGCAGGGGAUCUUCGGACCUUGCGCGAUUGAAUGAGCCGAUGUCGGAUUAGCUAGUUGGCGGGGUAAAGGCCCACCAAGGCGACGAUCCGUAGCUGGUCUGAGAGGAUGAUCAGCCACACUGGAACUGAGACACGGUCCAGACUCCUACGGGAGGCAGCAGUGGGGAAUAUUGGACAAUGGGCGCAAGCCUGAUCCAGCCAUACCGCGUGGGUGAAGAAGGCCUUCGGGUUGUAAAGCCCUUUUGUUGGGAAAGAAAAGCAGCAGGUUAAUACCCCGCUGUUCUGACGGUACCCAAAGAAUAAGCACCGGCUAACUUCGUG
rnacentral:rRNA from 1 species